AGUCGAGCGAACAGAUGAGGAGCUUGCUCCUUAAGAUGUUAGCGGCGGACGGGUGAGUAACACGUGGGCAACCUGCCCUAUAGUUUGGGAUAACUCGCGGAAACGUGAGCUAAUACCGAAUAAUACAUUCCAUCUCCUGAUGGGAUGUUGAAAGAUGGUUUUUCGCUAUCGCUAUAGGAUGGGCCCGCGGCGCAUUAGCUAGUAGGUGAGGUAACGGCUCACCUAGGCAACGAUGCGUAGCCGACCUGAGAGGGUGAUCGGCCACACUGGGACUGAGACACGGCCCAGACUCCUACGGGAGGCAGCAGUAGGGAAUCUUCCACAAUGGACGAAAGUCUGAUGGAGCAACGCCGCGUGAGUGAAGAAGGUUUUCGGAUCGUAAAACUCUGUUGUAAGGGAAGAACAAGUACAGUAGUAACUGGCUGUACCUUGACGGUACCUUAUUAGAAAGCCACGGCUAACUACGUGCCAGCAGCCGCGGUAAUACGUAGGUGGCAAGCGUUGUCCGGAAUUAUUGGGCGUAAAGCGCGCGCAGGCGGUCCUUUAAGUCUGAUGUGAAAUCACGUGGCUCAACCACGUGCGGUCAUUGGAAACUGGAGGACUUGAGUGCAGAAGAGGAAAGUGGAAUUCCAAGUGUAGCGGUGA
rnacentral:rRNA from 1 species